rnacentral:lncRNA from 1 species
AAAAUGGAAAAGAUCCUGAAGUUGAGGCUUGUAGAUUUCAACUAUGGCUAGCCAUUCGUAUAGAUUGGCUGUGGGAGGGCCAAAUCUACCAUUGACACUUCCAGAUGCUAGGAUACUGGGAAGAGCUUGGGCCUGGAUUCGGAUGGACCUGAUUCAAAUUCCCAUGCGGCUACUUAUUAUAAGGAAUCUUCCUGGCUAAAAAAACCCAUAAAAGUGGAAAACUCAAACUCCACAGUGCGAAUAUCUCUUGAGUCUGCCUGCACUACCCUUUCUUGAGUGUGUAUUGAUAAGACUUCAAAUGACAUUUUAAGAAAUUUAAAUUUCAACCUGAAGUCAAUAAGGACACAUCAGAAGUUUUCAAAGGAAGGAUGGAGUCUGUUGAAAGAACCGGUUGGUAAAAUGAGAAUAAAUGGAUUGAAGGAGACCCAAGUGACCACCUGGUAAUUACUUCAACAGCAGAGCGACUCAUACAGCCAGCAAUCCACUUUGUUGUGAUCUGUAGAUCCUGCCUGUGGUGUUGGAUCUAACAGCUUCUUCCCUGACCCAAGAUUAUGAAGGAUUUCUCCUGUGUUCUCUUCUAAAAAUUUUACAUUUAGGUCCUGGGCUUUCUCUGCUAGAAGAGGCUGAAUCCCUGGAGUACCUAGAGUAGAGAGCUGGAUAGAAAUCUAGAAGUGGAAUUGCUGAGCUGUAGAGUAUGUGAAUCUCUACAACUUUCAACUUUGCCAUGUAUUGUCAAAUUGCUCUCCAAAGUGAUGGUACCAAUUAAUGAUACUACCAAUAAGGAUCUCAACAGGACAAACACAAAGAAAAUAUCAAGGUGCAUCAUAGACAAAUUAUUGAAAAUCAGCAAUAAGGAGAAAACCUUAAAAACAGCAAGAUAAAAAGAUGCAUUAUGUGUAAAAUUAAAAAAGAAAACAAUGAUUGCUGAGUUCUCAUCAUACCAAUGCACAAAAGACAACAGAACAAUAUCUUUAAUGUGUGAAAAGUAAGAAAAAAA